UACGAAGGGGGCUAGCGUUGUUCGGAAUCACUGGGCGUAAAGGGCGCGUAGGCGGCCGAUCAAGUCGGGGGUGAAAGCCUGUGGCUCAACCACAGAAUUGCCUUCGAUACUGUUUGGCUUGAGACCGGAAGAGGUAAGUGGAACUGCGAGUGUAGAGGUGAAAUUCGUAGAUAUUCGCAAGAACACCAGUGGCGAAGGCGGCUUACUGGUCCGGUUCUGACGCUGAGGCGCGAAAAGCGUGG
rnacentral:rRNA from 1 species